ACUCGUCAACCAUUGGCUGACAAGGCAAGUUCAUAUUCUUUGUUAUAUUUAACAUGCUUUUAUCAUGGUUUCUACUUCAUCAUGACUAACAUUUGUAACUUUUCAUCAUGCAGAUCUCAGUUCUCGCAUCUCAGUUUCCAGAACUGGAGACAUAUAGGAGCUGUGAACUGUCACCUUCAAGUUGGAUUUCUGUUGCUUGGUAUCCCAUAUAUAGGAUCCCCAUGGGUCCUACGCUACAGAAUCUGGAUGCCUGCUUUUUA
rnacentral:misc_RNA from 1 species